AGACAGUUAGCUAAGAAUCGAGCUCAUGACUAAGGGCUAAUCUAGUUCAGAAAAAGCUUAUGAAUAAAAAUAUACAAUGUAAGCAUUACAGUUACGAGAAGGAGAGAUAAAUUAUAAAGCGAAAAAUAGUUCAAGUAAAAAGAAAUUAAAAUUUCAUUAAGAAUACAGGGCUGUUACAAUCUACUUAUUGGACGAGGUUGAAGGAAAGAUAGUCCUUAAAGGACUUAUAUUUGUAAGAACAUCCUCGCCUACAUUAUGUUUAUUUACAACUAUAUCUGGAGGAAGCCCGGCAUCCUUUGGGUCAGAUGUCUUAGUAUCAACAACAGG
rnacentral:lncRNA from 1 species